rnacentral:lncRNA from 10 species
ACUUUGAUUCAUCCCCAGAGACAGCAGGCAUUUGAGACAGUCUGAGAAGGGUAAUCAAUACUGACUUUCCUUGCAGCAGAGCAAACUAAAGAGAUGGACCAUGUGAUCCCACAAAGGCUCUUUGGCUCUGUUGUCCUGUGGUGUUGUGUGGCAAAACACUGACCUUAGCCUGAGGGGCAGUCAUUGAAUGGGAUAGACUUGAGAUUAGGUGACAGAUUGGGUGCUCCCUUUGCUACUUGCCAGCUGUGUCACCUUGGGCAGAGUCAUAGCUCUUAGUGCAGUACCUGCACAUGGGAGGCACUCAGUAAGUACUUAUUGACUGUGGAAUGAUCAAGCUUUUUGACCCUCAGUUACCUUGUCUAUCAAAUAAAAAUAGUAGUACCUAUUUCACAGGCAUGUGAAGGGAGAAUAGUUAUGUUAAGUGUAGAAGGUGAUGCUGUCUUUUUUGUUGUUUUCUCAUAUAACAGCACAUCCUUACUUCCAACCUGGCCUUCCCUUGGAUACCAAGGCCAGAAAGGAGUCCAUGGAGGGAUUGGGCAAGUCCAAUUCUUCUCCUAGGAGAAUAACUCAAAACUUUCUUGUUGACUCUGGACCAGUAGCAUCACCUCUGCGCAUGCAGAACAGGAUGCUGCUUCUUUCAUAACCGGAAGUCAAUUGGUAUUGUUUAAGAUACCACAGUCAAACUUUGUUCUGCCCAGUUAUGUUUUGAAAUGACAGCUCCAAUAAUAAAUUCUUAAUUAUAGUGCACUUUUAAUGAUCCAGAUGAUCCUGAUUAGACUGUGGCCAUCAGAAACUUGUGGCACUAGUUUCAGUUUGGACAGCAUAAACCCAGGUGAACCCAAGAGGAACUCAGGUGCUCUCCUCCUUAGAGGAGACCCAGUAGGGAGAAGACAGGAUCUGUUGGAGAAGGCAAGUUUCUCUGCUUGAAGUUGAGGCAGUGUGGAGAAUUUGGAGGGAAACAGGCCGCGAUUAGUGAUUGCUGUGGGUAUAAGAAAGAACAGUUUUAUUUAGCUGGGCCACAUUGGAAAGAGGAGCACGUGUGGACGACGGUUCCCAGUACUGAUAUGUGUGGUCCCUUGUUGGCCCAUUGCUAUGUGUUCACCAGUCCUUAGCAAAAGUGUAAGUAAAAGGACGUCAGCAGGGUAUUCUUGGGAAAGAAAGUCUUCAAUUCUGAAAUCAUG